UUGUUUUUUGUUUUCAUGUUGGUGGUGGAGGAAUAUGGGCGAAUUGUUGAGAGGAGCGCGUCGACACUGGAUACGGCGAUGUCAAGUUGUGCAAUGUAUUAUUUGAAGGCCGGAUUGGAGUUUUUGUAAUGGUAGGCGGUAGUGAUGGUGGAAGAGGCAGUGGUUACUCGGCGACGGAGAUGGGAGUGAAAGGUGGUGCAUCGGAAAGAGUGGUGGAUGGAGGCUAUGUAGGAAACGACCAAGUAUUGGGCAUUUACUGUGGAGGUGACGAUGUGUUGGAGGACCGCCUUAUUGUAGCGAUGGGGUGAAGUCGCUCUGGCCAAGUUGCCGUCGAGGAUUACGCGUGUCUGUGACUGGGGUGUAUGGAGACGAGAUGUUGUCCUUUGAACGUAUAGCCGUCGUCCCUGUGAUUGGAGCCGAGAUGAUGUCCUGUGAACGUCUAGCUGUCGUUUCUGUGACUGGAGCCGAGAAGAUGAUGUUCUGUGAAUGUAUAGCUGUUGUCUUGGUGUAUGGAGCCAAGAUGAUGUCCUGUGAAUGUAUAGCUGUCGUACCUGUGACGGGUUGAGAAGAUGAUGUACUUUGAACAUGUAGCCGUCGUCCCUGUGACUGGAGCCGAGAUGUCCUUUGAAUGUAUAGUUGUCGUCUCAGUGACUUGGGUGUAUGGAACUGAGAAGAUGUCCUUUGAACGUAUAGCCGUUGUACCUGUGACUGGGGUCGAGAAGAUGACGAUGUCUUUCGAACGUGUAGCUGUCGUCUCGGUGACCGGGGUGUAUGGAGCCGAGAAGAUGACGUCCUGUGAACGUAUAGCAGUUGUCCCAGUGACUGGGGUGUAUCGAGCCGAGAUGUCCUGUGAACUUCUAGCCGUCGUUUCUGUGACUGGAGCCGAGAUGUCCUUUGAACGUAUAGCUGUGGUCCCAGUGACGGGUGUAUGGAGCCGAGAAGAUGUUCUGUGAAGGUAUAGCCGUCGUACCAGUG